ensembl:lncRNA
GUCCUGGGGGUCCAUCAGAGGCUGUGACAAGAGAGUCUAGCCUGAUGAUGUGCCUUUCUAAAGGGCGAGGGCUUCUGGAGGCAGGAGGGAGAAUGGUUGGGGGGUGACAAUGAGGAGCAAGGAAGUCACCCACCUCCCCUUCAGGCCCCUUGGUACAAGGGUAGUGGGACAGAAAACAAACCCAACCCAAGACGGCUACAGUGGAAGCUUGCUCUCGGAAAGGAGCCAGGUUUUGGUUAAAGGGAGAAUAGGAAAGGAAUAUUUAAAGAAGCUGAUGAUAUUUACUUUCUAUGCCCAGCACUCAGCUGGACACUGAGACAGUGAACAAAAGAGUGAAAUAUCCUCCCUCCUGGGCCUUAUGUUCCACCUGGUGAGACAGAGUAAACAAGAUUGAAAAAGUCAAAUAUAUAGUCUAUUAGAUAGUGCUAAAUAUUAGGGGAAAAAAUAAAGCAGUGAAGAAAGAUCGAAGUGUCAGUAAUUGGGAGUUAAAACUAUAAUAGUUAGCUAAGACAGGCUCCCUGAGAAGAAGACAUUGAGUAAAGGCCUGAAGGAAAUUGGAAAGCUGACCAGAGACCUGGGGGUAAGAAGAACAGCAACUGCAAAGGCCCUGAGGUGACAGCAUGCCCACGAUGUCUGAGGAAGAGCGAGGAGGUGAUACUGAUGCUAAUGCUGCUGGUCGGGGACCAGUUUUGAGAACCACAGGAGAAGUGCAUUACAGUCAGUUUGCCCCGCAGAAUGGAGCACCCAUUUGUGCCUCAUGAUGGUGAAUUCACUGAAGGCCGCCAGCAUGGCUGUGUUUUUGUCUCUGUCAUGCUCAGCUGCACUGGAACCGGCACAGAGCAGGCAGGAACGACCAUGGAGAGAGGUCUGGCAUGACAAGGGGAACAAGGAGGAGCCCACCCCACCUCCAGGCCUGGAGCAGAGAAGCAGGAGUGAGCAGAGCCAUCACUUAGGGAGCCGCUGGGAAGCUGAGCUCUCAGGGAGAGUCAGGGUCCGUUCCCUCUGUAGUUCUCCACCCUAGCCUCAAAUGAGAAACACCUGGGGAAUUUGGAGACCACACCGGAGCCUGGACCCCACUAUCUGAGGGGUCGCCCGGCUCACUGGUGAUGCAGCUGGAAUAUCAACCCAGGCAAUCUGACUUUAGACUCCAAGCUUCGACCUACAAGAACUUACUUCAUCAGGAGCUAGAGUUACUGAGGAAUAUUAUCAGACCUGAUCCUCAAAUUUAGUAUUGGCAGUGUAAUGCUUUUAGGAAAACUGAAGAUGGAGGCAGAGACUGCAGUCAGGCAGCUGCAAGGUGAGGAACACCACGGACUGACGGCACCAGCAGAAACGAGGAAGAGGCAAGAAAGGAUUCUACCCAGAGCCUCAGAGAGAGCAUGGCCCUGCUGACACCUCGAUUUCAGACUUGUAGCCUCCAGAACUGGAGAUAAUAAAGCUCUGUUUUUCUAAGCCACCCAGUGUGUGGUACUGUGUUACAGCAGCCCUGGGAAACUAUACACCUUUCUGUGUUCAAAGCAAGUUCUAGUUCAAGCUGAAAGCAGGGCCUCUAGGAGCUGUCAGUUCCUCCUGCCCUCCUCUCCCCACAUUGUAGACAUAAUUCACUUACCUUCUACUUCCUUUGAAUCUUGCUGAACUCCCACGCCUUAUAGAUUCACUGGAAUUCGGUGCUCAUGGGGCAUGGAGAACACUAUACGCAAAUGGGGCAGCAAGGGACAGCAGACACCUACUGCACAACUCUCUGUUCAG